AGUGAACGCUGGCGGUAGGCCUAACACAUGCAAGUCGAACGGCAGCACAGUAAGAGCUUGCUCUUACGGGUGGCGAGUGGCGGACGGGUGAGGAAUACAUCGGAAUCUACUUUUUCGUGGGGGAUAACGUAGGGAAACUUACGCUAAUACCGCAUACGCCCUACGGGUGAAAGCAGGGGAUCUUCGGACCUUGCGCGAUUGAAUGAGCCGAUGUCGGAUUAGCUAGUUGGCGGGGUAAAGGCCCACCAAGGCGACGAUCCGUAGCUGGUCUGAGAGGAUGAUCAGCCACACUGGAACUGAGACACGGUCCAGACUCCUACGGGAGGCAGCAGUGGGGAAUAUUGGACAAUGGGCGCAAGCCUGAUCCAGCCAUACCGCGUGGGUGAAGAAGGCCUUCGGGUUGUAAAGCCCUUUUGUUGGGAAAGAAAAGCAGCAGGUUAAUACCCCGCUGUUCUGACGGUACCCAAAGAAUAAGCACCGGCUAACUUCG
rnacentral:rRNA from 1 species